AUUGAACGCUGGCGGCAGGCUUAACACAUGCAAGUCGAGCGAGCGGCGGACGGGUGAGUAAUGUCUGGGAAACUGCCUGAUGUCGGGGGAUAACUACUGGAAACGGUAGCUAAUACCGCCAACCAUCACAUCUUCCCAGAUUGGAUUAGCUAGUAGGUGGGGUAAUGGCGCACCUAGGCGCCGAUCCCUAGCUGGUCUGAGAGGAUGACCAGCCACACUGGAACUGAGACACGGUCAAGACUCCUACGGGAGGCAGCAGUGGGGAAUAUUGCACAAUGGGCGCAAGCCUGAUGCAGCCAUGCCGCGUGUGUGAAGAAGGCCUUCGGGUUGUAAAGCACUUUCAGCGAGGAGGCGUUACUCGCAGAAGAAGCACCGGCUAACUCCGUGCCAGCAGCCGCGGUAAUAC
rnacentral:rRNA from 1 species